UGCAUCCUGAUAUGAUUCCUGCGAAUAAGGCCACUUUGUAACCCAGAUUGUUCCUGGAAUGCCCUGCGCUGUUGCCAUCGGUGCUGGUUCCUGCAGGGAAGCAAGAACAGCCAAUUACUGGGGUUCUGAGACUCUGCCCUCUAGCUUGAAGAACGAACGCUCCAAAUGCAAACAAGUAAUCAUGGCCAAUGCUCAACUCACUGGGUCCACUUGACAACAGAUCACCAGAUGAGGUGAAGGAGCUUCAAAGGUCCGACACUCACCAGGCCAACCACUUCCUAAAGAUUAGACAGCAAAUCUGGAACAUCCCUAGUUUCAACACUUCAGGAUGCAUCAGUAACUGAAACACCUGGUGAGCUCUGCUCUUGUGACUGAGCGGGCUGAAUUAAUCUGUCUUAGUGGCAGAGUUAAUAUUGACUCACUGGGAGCAAAGACCCCAGGAAUCUGUGCCCACGAGUGAAUCUCACUGGUUUGGAUGUGUUUAGAGGCUCCUCUGCCUCUAUGGGUUCUAAGAAAAAUGCACCCCAUAGACACACAUCCCCACUACACUGCUGUCCCUGGAUUUGGUUAUACAAAAGGGCUUGUUGUUGAAUAUCUCCCAUUUGUACUAGCUUCUAGCUCUGGACGUCUUGUUGGAUCAUUAUUCCUGGUUGAUCCAGCAGGACUUGCAUCUACAUGAAGAAGAAGCCAUUAAUCAUGGAACAGACAUCUGACAAUGUAGCAAGCUUCAGGAGUUGCAAAGACAUCUCAAGAGGCAUGAACAGCAAUGAACAUAUGACUCUUUAUGCAAAGCACUGAGAAAUACAAGAAUAUAACCUUCCUUUUUAAUCAGAAUGGUAAUCCUAGUUAUUUGUUAGGUUUAGAUUAGGAGGCCAUCUGUGCAAACUAUAGGGAUUCUUGCAUUUGGCAGUCAAAGCAUUCCAGAUGACAUUUCAAUUUCACUAAACAAGUUGAUUGACAGCUAUACUAGUCUCUAAUUAGAAGAAUAAUUCUUUCUUUCUUCACAAUAGGAUAUUCUACGUGAAGAUGCAGGUCUUGGUUUGUCCAGAUUUGAAAAUGAAACAAAGCAGCAUAGCCAGUGCUUACGUACUAGACACUUUGAUUUUUUCAAAGAGGUGUUCUGCAUUGUAAACAGAAAUAUACGUACCUGUGGCAGCACACAGACACCCUGUCUCACUGGCCUGAACUUUUAGAGAGAUUUAAAUGAGAAAAACUGAGCAUGUCAGCUUGCGGGACUCAACCAGUGGUUCAAAGUGCAGAAAAUGGUCUGCCUUCAAAACUAACAAGAGUGGUGAUGGUGAAUGUCACCC
ensembl:lncRNA